rnacentral:rRNA from 1 species
CAUGCAAGUCGAGCGGUAACAGAGAGAAGCUUGCUUCUCUGCUGACGAGCGGCGGACGGGUGAGUAAGACUUGGGAAUUUGCCUUAGGCGGGGGACAACCACUGGAAACGGUGGCUAAUACCGCAUAAUGUCUACGGACCAAAGUGGGGGACCUUCGGGCCUCACGCCUAAAGAUGAGCCCAAGCGGGAUUAGCUAGUUGGUGGGGUAAAGGCUCACAAAGGCGACGAUCCCUAGCUGUUCUGAGAGGAUGAUCAGCCACACUGGGACUGAGACACGGCCCAGACUCCUACGGGAGGCAGCAGUGGGGAAUAUUGCACAAUGGGGGAAACCCUGAUGCAGCCAUGCCGCGUGUGUGAAGAAGGCCUUCGGGUUGUAAAGCACUUUCAGUGGUGAGGAAAGGGUGAUAGUUAAUANCUAUCACAGUUGACGUUAGCCACAGAAGAAGCACCGGCUAACUCCGUGCCAGCAGCCGCGGUAAUACGGAGGUGCAAGCGUUAAUCGGAAUUACUGGGCGUAAAGCGUACGUAGGCGGUGUGUUAAGCUAGAUGUGAAAGCCCGGGCUCAACCUGGGAAUAGCAUUUAGAACUGGCACGCUAGAGUCCUGAAGAGGGUGGUAGAAUUUCCAGUGUAGCGGUGAAAUGCGUACAUAUUGGAAGGAAUACCGGUGGCGAAGGCGGCCACCUGGUCAGAGACUGACGCUGAGGUACGAAAGCGUGGGGAGCAAACAGAAUUAGAUACCCUGGUAGUCCACGCCGUAAACGAUGUCAACUAGUUGUUCGUGUCAUUAAGACGUGAGUAACGCAGCUAACGCACUAAGUUGACCGCCUGGGGAGUACGGCCGCAAGGUUAAACUCAAAUGAAUUGACGGGGGCCCGCACNAGCGGUGGAGCAUGUGGUUUAAUCCUAUUCUUCGCGAACAACCUUACCAUCCCUUGACAUCCAGUGAAUUUUCCAGAGAUGGAUUAGUGCCUUCGGGAACACUGAGACAGGUGCUGCAUGGCUGUCGUCAGCUCGUGUUGUGAGAUGUUGGGUUAAGUCCCGCAACGAGCGCAACCCUUAUCCUUAGUUGCCAGCGGCUCGGCCGGGAACUCUGGGGAGACUGCCGGUGAUAAACCGGAGGAAGGUGGGGACGACGUCAAGUCAUCAUGGCCCUUACGGGAUGGGCUACACACGUGCUACAAUGGCGCAUACAAAGGGCAGCGAACCUGCGAAGGUAAGCGAAUCUCAUAAAGUGCGUCGUAGUCCGGAUUGGAGUCUGCAACUCGACUCCAUGAAGUCGGAAUCGCUAGUAAUCGUGGAUCAGAAUGCCACGGUGAAUACGUUCCCGGGCCUUGUACACACCGCCCGUCACACCAUGGGAGUGGGCUGCACCAGAAGUGGUUAGUUUAACCUUCGGGAGAACGAUCACCA